UAGCAUGUCCCAAUUUAAAAUUUGUUUUAAAAACUAAUUCAUAAUUCAGGGGAAGAAUACCCUGAGCAAAUUAAAUCCGGCCUGCGGGCCAGUUUGCAAACUCUGCUUGUCUUGUUUUCUCAUUGAACCCGGACACCCAUUCUGUUGAGGAGCCCCUGCCCCUUGUUCUACCAAGGAGGCAAUCAGAGCUCUUCAUGGGGGUAAAUCACUUACCCAUCUGGCCAAGCCACACAGUAGGGGUCUGCCCAACUCCCAAGGCUUGCUCCUAUGUGAGACAGCCUCCCGAAUGGGUGAGAGGCCUGUGUUCAGACACAGCCAGGACUGGCACCGUGACAGAACAUCUCCAGAGACAGUAAACCGUCAGUCAAACCAUUCAGCGUAGUGACAAGGGAUCAUUCGAGACGAAUGUAAUGUUGCAGACAUAAAACUCCCCACCUCCUUCUGCCAGAACUCAACAAUGGAUGUCUCUGUGCCUCUUAAUAAAAUGAAGUCCCCACAGAAUCAUUUCUCCCAAUUAUGUAUUCCUUAUAAUAAUGGGAUGUUCAUGUCUGGAGAUUUUUUUUUUAAGCUAUGAAUGUACGUUUAGGGGAGUUGGUGUAUGCGGAAUAAAUAGCUUUGAAC
rnacentral:lncRNA from 1 species